GACGAACGCUGGCGGCGUGCUUAACACAUGCAAGUCGAACGGUGAAGCGCCUUCCUUUUUGGUGGGUGUGGAUGAGUGGCGAACGGGUGAGUAACACGUGAGUAACCUGCCCCCUUCUUCUGGAUAACCGCAUGAAAGUGUGGCUAAUACGGGAUAUUCUGGGUCUGUCGCAUGAUGGGUCUGGGAAAGGUUUUUUUCUGGUGGGGGAUGGGCUCGCGGCCUAUCAGCUUGUUGGUGGGGUGAUGGCCUACCAAGGCGGUGACGGGUAGCCGGCCUGAGAGGGUGGACGGUCACACUGGGACUGAGACACGGCCCAGACUCCUACGGGAGGCAGCAGUGGGGAAUAUUGCACAAUGGGCGCAAGCCUGAUGCAGCGACGCCGCGUGAGGGAUGGAGGCCUUCGGGUUGUGAACCUCUUUCGCCAGUGAAGCAGGCCUGCCUCGUUUGUGGGUGGGUA
rnacentral:rRNA from 1 species